GUACAGCAGAUCACUCAAGGAAUGCUGAGACAUGUAUUUACAUUUCUACCAUAUGUGAAAGUUUCAACUGCCUAUGCUUAAAAUGGAUGCAUAUAUAACGAUAAUAUUCAUAGUUUUAUGCAUUGUACAUAGAAUGGUUAUUGAAUAUAAUUAAUAGAAAAUUAAUAGAAGUGUAACAAAAAAUGGCAGUACAGCAGAUCACUCAAGGAAUACUGAGACUUGUAUUUACAUUUCUAUCACAUGUGAAAGUUUCAACUGCCUAUGCUUAAAAUGGAUGCAUAGAUAACGAUAAUAUUCAUGGUUUUAUGCAUUGUACAUUGAAUGGUUAUUCAAUAUAAUUAAUAGAAAAUUAAUAGUAGUGUAACAAAAAAUGGCAGUACAGCAGAUCACUCAAGGAAUGCUGAGACAUGUAUUUACAUUUCUACCACAUGUGAAUGUUUCAACUGCCUAUGCUUAAAAUGGAUGCAUAGAUAACGAUAAUAUUCAUGGUUUUAUGCAUUGUACAUAGAAUGGUUAUUGAAUAUAAUUAAUUGAAAAUUAAUAGUAGUGUAACAAAAAGUGAGUGUCAUGAUACCCUUACAAUUAGAUUAAGUAACUGAAUUUUAAUUACCUUAACUAACGUCCAUAUAAUUCAUUUAAACUCAUACUUCAUAAACAAUAUAAAACAUGCUAUCAUAUGAUAA